UACGGGGGGAGCAAGCGUUGUUCGGAUUUACUGGGCGUAAAGGGCGCGUAGGCGGUCACGACAAGUCAGGGGUGAAAUCCUGCAGCUUAACUGUAGAAGUGCCUUUGAUACUGUCGGUCUUGAGGGAAAUAGGGGUGUGCGGAACUUCCAGUGGAGCGGUGAAAUGCGUUGAUAUUGGAAGGAACGCCGGAGGCGAAAGCGGCGCACUGGAUUUCUUCUGACGCUGAGGCGCGAAAGCUAGGGGAGCAAACGGG
rnacentral:rRNA from 1 species